rnacentral:rRNA from 1 species
GACGAACGCUGGCGGCGUGCUUAACACAUGCAAGUCGAACGGAAAGGCCCUGCUUUUGUGGGGUGCUCGAGUGGCGAACGGGUGAGUAACACGUGAGUAACCUGCCCUUGACUUUGGGAUAACUUCAGGAAACUGGGGCUAAUACCGGAUAGGAGCUCCUGCUGCAUGGUGGGGGUUGGAAAGUUUCGGCGGUUGGGGAUGGACUCGCGGCUUAUCAGCUUGUUGGUGGGGUAGUGGCUUACCAAGGCUUUGACGGGUAGCCGGCCUGAGAGGGUGACCGGCCACAAUGGUCCUGAGAUACGGCCCAGACUCCUACGGGAGGCAGCAGUGGGGAAUAUUGCACAAUGGGCGGAAGCCUGAUGCAGCAACGCCGCGUGCGGGAUGACGGCCUUCGGGUUGUAAACCGCUUUCGCCUGUAACGAAGAGUGAGUGACGGUAAUGGGUAAAGAAGCACCGGCUAACUACGUG